rnacentral:tRNA from 1 species
AGCAGUGUGGCUUAGCGGACAGAGCAUGUUCCUGGAAGUCAGAAGGACCUGAGUUCUAAUCCCGGCUCUGCUG